rnacentral:rRNA from 1 species
UUCGCAAUGCCCGAAAGGGUGACGAAGCGACGCCGCGUGGGUGAGGAAGGCCUUCGGGUUGUAAAGCCCUGUCAGGAGUUAAGAAAUGUAGGUUCGCUAAUAUCGUGCCUAUUUGACAAAGGCUCCAAAGGAAGCCACGGCUAACUCUGUGCCAGCAGCCGCGGUAAUACAGAGGUGGCAAGCGUUGUUCGGAAUUAUUGGGCGUAAAGAGCACGUAGGUGGAUUUGUAAGUCAGAUGUGAAAGCCUUCUGUUCAACGGGAGAAUUGCAUCUGAAACUACAAACCUUGAGUAUAGGAGGGGAGAAUGGAACUUCUGGUGGAGCGGUGAAAUGCGUAGAUAUCAGAAGGAACGCCGGCGGCGAAAGCGAUUCUCUGGCCUAUUACUGACACUCAGUGUGCGAAAGCUAGGGGAGCAAACGGGAUUAGAUACCCCGGUAGUCCUAGCCGUAAACGAUGGGCACUAAGUAGAGGGGUUUU